rnacentral:rRNA from 1 species
AGUCGUAACAAGGUUUCCGUAGGUGAACCUGCGGAAGGAUCAUUAACACAUAUCUUGAACCUAAAAUUUGUUCUGCUGUCGAAAGACACUUUGAACUUAUUAAACUUCUCAAAUUACCAAGUACAAAAUUGAAAGAAAAUUUUCAACGAUGGAUAUCUUGGUUCCCAUAACGAUGAAGAACGCAGCGAAAUGCGAUACGCAAUGCGAAUUGCAGAAUUCCGCGAGUCAUCAGAUCUUCGAACGCAAACUGCGCUGGUGGGAUAUCCUGCCAGCAUGCUUGUUUCAGUGUGUUAAGUUUAUUUCUCAUAACUAAAUGUCAUUGAGGUUCGCCUCUCUGAUUAAGUAUGAGUGAGUGAAGUUAAGCUUCCAACAAAGUGGUCACUUGAAAAAGUGAUUUUGUUGGGUUAUGUUUAACAUCAAAAACUCACUAAAUAACUUUCUUCAAUCUGCACCUGAAAUCAAGCAAGAACACCCGCUGAACUUAAGCAUAUCAAUAAGCGGAGGAA